GUUUUGCUGCCCGGUGCGUGAGGAUGCUUAUUUUCCGGGGCCUUACGAUUCUUUAGGGAGCUGUCCCUGACCUCGCUCGUGGGCUUGGAUAUACGGCGCCCACCUACUUAAGUAGGUUCCCAAGGAUCACAAGUUGUCCCACGGCCGUGGUGGCGCUUAA
rnacentral:other from 1 species